CGACGUACGCCUGGAUGCUUCUUGGUACACGAAAGGAAAAACCCCCGGUGGCAAGUUUUUGACCUACCCUCUGACCGUCUUUUGUGNAACAAAACAACCAUUCAACUUAAAUAUGCUUAUUUCCNCGGAUUUAGCUUUACUUAGCCGNAAUA
rnacentral:rRNA from 1 species